rnacentral:rRNA from 1 species
AUUGAACGCUGGCGGUAUGCUUAACACAUGCAAGUCGAACGGUAACAGGCCUUCGGGCGCUGACGAGUGGCGGACGGGUGAGUAACGCGUAGGAAUCUGCCUCAUAGUGGGGGACAACGUGGGGAAACUCACGCUAAUACCGCAUACGCCCUAGGGGGAAAAGCGGGGGCUCUUCGGACCUCGCGCUAUGAGAUGAGCCUGCGUUAGAUUAGCUAGUUGGUGGGGUAAAGGCCUACCAAGGCGACGAUCUAUAGCUGGUCUGAGAGGACGAUCAGCCACACUGGGCCUGAGACACGGCCCAGACUCCUACGGGAGGCAGCAGUGGGGAAUAUUGGACAAUGGGCGCAAGCCUGAUCCAGAAAUACCGCGUGUGUGAAGAAGGCCUUAGGGUUGUAAAGCACUUUCAAUUGGGAGGAAAACCUGCCGGCUAAUACCCGGCAGCUUGACAUUACCAAUAGAAGAAGCACCGGCUAACUCCGUGCCAGCCGCCGCGGUAAUAC